UUUUUUUUUUCACUACAAAUAGUUCUCCAAUAAAUAUUUGGUUUGCAAAUUUUUCUCAAUAUAAAUGAUAACAUUUAACAAUAUUUAACAUAUUUAUAUUAAAUGUAAACUUUGAAUAAUUUUUAUAAUAAUAAAAUAACCUUAGGAUAGGUUCCAAAACAAAAACAAAAACAAAAUAAAGAAAAAAAGGGAAUCCUGGAUAAAGUGAUAUAAAAAAUUUAGGGAGUUCCCGCUGUGGCUCGGUAGUAAUGAACCUGACUAGUAUCCAUGAGGAUGCAGGUUCAAUCCCUGGCUUUGCUCAGUUGGUUAAGGAUCUGGCGUCGCCAUGAGCUGUGGUAUAUAGCUGGCAGCUCUGUAGCUCUGACUCAACACUUGGCCUGGGAUCUUCCAUAGGCCAUGGGUGCUGCCCUGAAAAAAAAAAAAAAAAAGACAAAAAAAUGUAAAGACUAUUAUUACUAAUACUGACAAAAUGAUUUCCAAAAGGGCAAACUAAUUUAUCCUCCCAUCAGCAAUGUGUGAAAGUGGGAAUAGAAUAUGGUGGAUUUUCUGUACUAAAUAUACUGAAAUAUUUACUCAUUUCAUAAGCAACUCAAUGAUACCUCAUUAUUUUAAUUUGAAUUUCCUAAAGCCUGGAAUGAAAAACAUAACCUAUGCUAUGACCCGCCAGUUCACUUCCAGAGCUAGUCAAGAGAAACAAAUGUGUGUCUACCAUAGUUGUUUUGUUCAUAGUACCCAAAGAAUGGAAAUAACUCAAAUAUCCACCAUUGGUAGAAAGGACAAAUCAAUUGGAGUAUAUUUACAAGAUGAAACACUAAAGAGACAUGAUUAAAAUACUGAAUUACUACAUGCAACAACGUGGGUGCCUCUCACAGACAUUAUGUUACAUAAAAGAAGUCAGGCACAAAGAAAAUACUGUAUAAGUUCAUUUCAUACUGUGCUCAAGGACAGGCAAAACUAAGCAAUGAUAAUGGAACUCAGAAGAGUGACGGGGAAAGACAGGAGGGUGGGGGUAUUGAGUGAAAAAUCCACAAAGCAGGCUUCUGGGUGCGGGAGAUUUUUUAAAUUUUGACCUGCCUGGUGGGCAGAUGGGCGUACACAAGUGUAGAAAUUCACUGAGCAUAAAAUAAGUUCAAUUUAUCAUGUAAAGGUUACAUCUCUAUAGAAAAGUAAAAAAUGUAAAAAUAAAAAUAAAGCAUGAGUUUUGAAGGACCAUGUAAGUAUAUGGACCCUUCCAUGAAGGUCCUUUAAGCUAAAUGGUUCAUUGCUCCACUUCAUGGGAGUGAGAAUUGGGGUUUUGGAUAUCAUGCUUUGCUGUUCAGGGAGUUAGAUAAUGAACUCACUGAACUAUUUACACAUAUGUUUGAAGGUUAUAGAAAAUUGGAAUGGUGCCCCAAAGACUUAAAGAGUAAAGGAAGUCAUUUGGGCAAUUACCAUCUGGCAAAUCUACCACUUCAAUUAUUAUUUAAAUAACACUUUUAGGAACAAAAAAUGAUAAACAUAAAAAGAGGAAAAAAGCAUCUUAAAAAUCUUCAGUAACUGGGCAAUGGCACAACACAAGGAAUCAGAAGAACUGCCUUCUAAAGAUUAGAUUCGACAAUAAAUGAUUUCUAACACCACGUUUCCUUGGUUUUCGUCUUCUUUUAUUUUUCAGUUUCCUUAGUGCCUCCCAAUCUUCCGGUCUUCCUUUAAAUGCUGGUGUGCUCCAGGGCAGGCCUCCCUGGAUAAUUGCAUACAAUUUCAUGACUUUAAGUCACAUCUAUAAGCCAUUGGUUCCCAAAUUUACACCUCCAGACCUGACUUUUCACCUAAACGUCAGACUUAGGUGACUGCUAGCUUGACAGCUCCAUUCGGUUGGUAACAGGCAUCUCAAAUUUAACAUCCUGCUUUUCUAUACAGCCUCCUCUCCCCAAAACUACUCCUCUCCCAGCUUUUCCACCCCAGGACAAGGUAACCACACUCUGCUCAAAACCCCAAACCCGGAAAUAGAGACGGAUCAUAAAACAGGGAAGGCCCUUCCCCACUUCGUCUUUUAUUCACAGCAUUUAUCACCACUUUCCAUGUCAUAUAUUAGUAUUUUUAUUAUCUGUCUCUCCAAAAAAGAAUGAAAUCUCUAUGAGGGCAGGGACUUUGUUCUGUUAAUUGCUGUGUCCCCAAUGCCUAGAACAGUGUUUGGUAGGUUAUGGGUGCCUGGAACAUACUGGUUCAGUGAAUGGAUGCUAUAUUGAACAUCAUAGAUUCCUGAUUGAAAAAAAAUACUGAUAAUACUAUGAAGGACCAUUUUUAGCAGUAUCAUCAUUUACUCACUGGGUCACUGUGGUUUAAAUGAGAUACAUUAUUAAAAAAAGUCUCUCUUUUUUUGCAGUACAAUGUCAGAUUGCAGCAGGUCAAUGGCCUCAUUGACUCUGUAGGUGGAAGUCAGAAAGUGUAUGUUUAAAUCCUGACUCUGUAACUGAUUAACUGGAGGCCCUUAGGUUAUGUGUAUAAUCUUUCUGAAUAUAGGUACUCUCCUGUACAAAUUGAAGAUAAUUAAAUCUGCCUCAUAAAGUCAUAAUGCAAAUCACUUUCAAUGAUACAAUGUUUAAGAGCAUGCCAAGCCAGGACGAGGUCCUUCAAAAAAAAAAAAAAAAAAAA
rnacentral:lncRNA from 1 species